CCAUGGAGAAAACUGGCAUGAAUAGCUGGCUGUCUCUGAGCAUUUCAAGACAUUUGUAGGGAUUUAUUUCAUCAGAAGCACAAAAUUUGAUUUGAAGACAGGCCCACAUAUUUAUGUAAUCUUGUACAAAUGAAAAGGAAAAAUCCCAUAUGGCAAGUCUGAGCCACCCAGCCCUUCAACGUAGAACUAAAAGUGCAUUGGAAAUUCUGCUGUCUCUGAAGAAAAUUUAGCAUCGCCUAUGAGGAGACGAAGUCCAUGGCACAUUUUGAAUGUUCCGUGUGUUCAUAGUGUGAUUGUUGCAACCAUUAAAGAAAGGAACAAAACUCCCAUAUGACCCAGAACCAAUGUGAUGAACCCUUGUUGAUGUCACAUCCAAAGACACUUCAAAAUAGCAUUUAAUGCUAUUUAAUGUGCAGCUGGAUUGACUCCACUCAGCCUACUUCAAGGCACAAGCCAGGAUGUCAGGAGAUGAUCAUAUUGCAUAUUGUAAAAAUGCAAAAGUGUGGCCAUUAAACUCCUGGGACCAUUGGUGAAUUGCCCGACUAUUACUGCGUGCACAGUGAAAACUUAUUAGAGAAUAAAGUUUAGGCAAACACAGUGUGCUGGUUUGACUGAAAAUGAGGUAAUUUUCUUCACGCAGUUAGAAAACUUUCUAUUCAUAGCUAGCAAUGGUCAUUAUUUGGACUUAGUUUGAGAGCAAGCAAUAACACCCAAGCACAGAGUUAAUGUUUUUAAUUGCUCUGAUCUGAGAGCCAAGGACAUUCUGAGUGCUCUGCCCACAGGUGUGAGGCAGCAAGGAAGUGGGGCAGAGAUAGGGCAGAUUUUGACUGACAUCUAGACUGAUCAGUAAGAGUAUUCCAUCCCAAUUAGUGUCAUGCUUCAUAUUUAAGAAGAGUGGGGGCCUUCCAAUUUCUGUCUCACUCUCUCUCUGACGUGUUCUUGCUCUCGCUCUGGGGUGCUUUCUCUCUUGAACCAGGGGAGUUUGGUGUGGGACGUUCAGUUUGGCUUUCUGCCAUUUUGCAGAGGCCUCUGAGCCUUUCUAACUUUUUGCUUUUUUUUUCUCUCUUUUGGGAUCGGGGACCAGGUUCCACUUCCUGGGUCUGGCUGCUUAGUGUGGACAGAGUUCAUGAAGAAUUGCCUCAAGUAUCUUUUAUUUCAAUUUUUAUAUAUAUUUACUAGUUCUAUAUUAGUACUUUGAUAUUUUAUUAAACUGUUUCAUCUCAAUCCAAGUUUCUCCCUUCCCUUUUGAUUGUCUCCUCUAUUGGGGGGGAAGUGGGAGGGACUGGGUGAGUGACUGGUUAUUGUGGUUGUAUUGCUAGCUUGGGUUUAAACCACAACACACAGAUUAUACUCCAACCAAAUGUAAGUUAAUGAGCUCAAUACAAAACUAAAUACAUGGAAUUUAAGAUCUAAUGGUCCCUUCUGGCCUCAGUCUGUAAACUCCAACUGCUAAUUAAGUGACCGUUUUUCCUGAGUAAGGACCUCACUAACUAACUGAAAAGUAAGAACUUAAAAUUUCUUAUUGCUCUCUGUAAAAGAUAUUUGGCGUGCCAUGCCAACACUGUCUGCUGGCAUGAUACAGAAUUUGCAUAGCUGUUCAACAAACAACAUCAGCAAGUGAGAACAUCUCUUUUCCAAGAAAAAAAAAUGGAAACCACUUGAAAAUUAUAAGAACAUAAUUUAAAUGCCAUUAGGGAUGUUUGCUCACAUUUUGUAUUACAGGAGUCAAAUGUGUAACCCAGAAACAGCUCUUGCGUUAUGUUUUGCUUUAGAAAACUAGACAUAGAUCCCUCAGGCACUGUUUUUGCAGGCGAUCCCAUGUGUGACAUAAGCAGUAUGGGGGAAAAUAAAGCAAAAGUGCUCUUUGACAAAGAUUCUCCAGACAAGUUUUUUUCAAUGGAUAGGAGAAAAGGAGACUCUACUUAUAGUUUCCAAAUGAAAAUCCAACUGCUCUGUAGUUUUCAGGCUCUUUGGCUAGGCUAUUUUCUUUCCCACUGAGAAACACUUCUAAAACUCAUGUGGUUUAUUUGAAGAUUAGUGUGGAAAACAUUUAACAUCUGUCUGCUAUCUUCUGACAGGCUGUGUAAAGAUGUAUUUCAGCAAAGUGGAUUGCAAAACUCAUGAUCUCAACUUGAACCAUUUUAUGCUGGUUAUAUCUGUGCAGGGAGGCAUAAGUCUGAGAGAUGAGUAAUUUUCUUUUUGAAACUAUCUUGUUUUCAAUUAGCCUUUGGGAGACCUCCUGUAUGUAUUGACAUCAGUACCUUUUCCUAACAUGUCAAAAUGAAUCACUGCAUUGAAAAGAAAACUUAGGAAUACAAGUCAAGGGGAUUUGUGAGCUCGAAAAUCUCCACUAUAAAGCAGGGUUAGGGAGGAC